UUUACUCUAUGCGUUGCCAUGUUUUCCUGUGGAAGCAGCGGUGUGGUUGUCAUCACAGCUCGCCGGACAAUAGGAAUUGGAAAUGUUCUACGAAAAAGAAUAGGAAUUAAAAAUGCCGGCCAAAAGAACGUGUUAGGAAUUGGGACCGACAUGAGCGUUUCGUCGAAGCAAGCGGAUUCCGGUGCUAGGGUUUUGUAUUCCCCCUCGUCGGAGGGGGUUUUGCCAUCCGAUCCGACCCAGAGAGAUCCACCUCCUCAGGGCUCCACCGCUGGAGAGUCCGACCAAUUGAAGCAAGUGGGUUUUGGGGCUAGGGUUUCACUGUCCCCUUCAUCGGAGGGGGUUUUGUCGUCGGUUCUAGUCCAGAGCGUUUGAUCUCUUCAUGGCUCCGUCGCUGGGGAGUCUGAUCGACCAAAGAAUGCUUCGCCUUCUAAAUAAAAGAGAGUGGACUCUCCACCCUCUCGUUCGGUGCCUCGUCCGUACAUUGCGACUGCUUCAGAUUCGCCCCAGUCGUGGGCAUAGGUUGUUCAGAGCCGUCGUUGAUUCCGUUGGGAGAUGCCAUGACCUACAGUCGAUGAUAUAUCUGCUUUGGAGGCUCGUUUCUCCCAGAUGGUUUUAUUCUCAGAAGAGAAAAUUCAAAAAACUGCUAAGAAAUGGCUAGCUGCACUGGUGGGAAAGUUCUUGGGGCAAGGGCUUCCUCUUGAGUUUGUCCAGAAGGAGAUAAAGACUCGUUGGCAGAUUGAGGGUGACUUUAAGAUAAGUCCUUUAUCUGAGGGUUUUCUUGUAUUUUGCUUACCAUCGGAGGAGAUCCGCUCGAGAGUGCUUGAGCUGGGCCCUUGGACGCUGGCUGGUCAAAUGCUUGCAUUAGAAUGCUGGUAACCUACCUUCAAACCUACGAAGGAUUCUCUAAAAUGGGUCAAUAUCUGGCUUCAUCUUCCUGACUUGCCCCUUGAAAUUUGGGAGAAGGAGCUGAUCCUUAAGGUUGCAGCCAAAGCUGGUCGACCCAAGUCCUUGGAUCCCUAGACGGCCGGUUCCUCUCGUCUUGGGUUUGCCCGUGUCUGUGUGUAGGUAGAUCUUUCUAAGCCUAUUUGUCCAGGCACGAAGCUUCUUAUUCGAGAUGAAGAUCUCCCGGACAUCUGUUGCCUCUGUGGAUCAAUUGGUACCACUGUGAGCAAGUGUUCUUGGUGCAAGGAUUUGGCGCAUACUGAUGAUGCCAUGGUCUACGGACCUUGGAUCCGGGCAGCUCGGGUUCCUGUUGAUCCUGCUGCUCCUGGUAGUGGUUCCAGUCCUUCCAUGUCUUCCUCUGUUGCUCCUACAGAUAACUCCUGGAUCACUCCUAAGAAAGUUGCUUCUAAACCUUCUUCCAAGCCAAAUAAGGAGAUCUUGACUCCUUAUGUAGGGGGCUCAAGAUUCUCUUCUUUAUCUUUGGAAGAGGACUCUACCUUCUCUGCUGUAAUGCCUAUGGAGGUCCUUCACUCUGAGGGUGAUGCUUUUACUCAUGGGGUUGCUUCUACCUCUAAGGAGAAACGCAAGCAGUCCCCGACUCAGUCAGCACCUCCUACAAGAGCUUCAUCCUCAAACAAAGGUAAUUGUCCAUGAAGAGGGGACGAAGGUUGAAUCUCCCUCUAACAUUUCAUCUGCUCUUGUUUUAUAUUCGAGAGGGUUUGGGAAAAUAGAGGUUUGGCGGUCAGUGGUGACCAACCCCUCUCGACUGGUUGGGUCAUCCUGCUGUGCUGCCUCUCACUCUGGUUCUCAGGUGUUGGUCCAUGCUUCGCCUCGACCAGACCUUGUGGACCAUUCGAUUUUGGUUUCUCAAGUCUUGCAGGAGUUGUCGGCUUCAUCUCCUAUUUCAAAUUCAGAUGCUCAAACUGCAUGUGGAGGCUGCUCGUCGGUGUGCUUACCCAGGCCAACUAUCUACAUCUGCUCUUCAAUGAAGAUCAUUAUGUGGAAUUGUCAGGGCGCAGCUAAGCCCUCGUUUCAAAUCUCCUGCCUUUUGGGCCUCUUGUAUGUGAUCUUUGUGGAUCUGCUGUGGAGGAUUGUCAACAUGUGAUUAUCACUUAUUAUUUUGCUCAAGCUUACUGGCACUUUAUUAGUCACCAAUUUAGCUGCCCUAUCCCAUCUUUUUUGUCGGAUUUGCUGGCUUUCUUAGCUCAUCCCAGGGCAGGAUCGAGAGAGAAGGCUAUUGUUGCUCUCAUGGCAUCUCUUAUUUGGUAUGCCAGGAAUCAGCGGAUCUUUCAAGGCCACUUUAUUCCUCCUGCUCAUCUCCUCCGGCUGUGUGUCUAUUUUCAUAAAAAUCAGUUUUUCUCCUCUACUUCUUUUCCUCCUGGUGAGCCCACUCAGUCAAGGAUCUGGGGUAAUCCUCAGCUGUUUCUGCAGUUUUACUCAAUGAAUUUUAUUUCAUGGACACCCCCUCCCCUUGGAGUGCUCACUAUUAACUUUGAUGGAGCAGUCACUGCAGAGCGAGCCGCUGGAAGCUUUAUAAUUCGGAACCAUGAGGGUGCUAUGUUGGCGAUAGGAGGAAAUCUUCUACCUGCUGUUGCUGUGCCUUUUGCUGAACUUAUCGAAGUUUGGUUGGGAGUUAAAUACCUCUUUACCCAUCUCUAUUCUCAGUGUGUUUGGAUUCAGGGAGACUCCUCGAUUGUUAUCACAUGGCUGAAAAAUCUCCAGCGUAAUAGGAUGAGUCUCUCACCUUGGAUGCAGGAUAUUAAAAUUUGACUUGCCUCUCUCCAGUAUCUUAAAAUAUUCCAUAUUUGUCAGGAAGGCAAUCAAGCCGUGGAUUGGGCUGCCACGACUACUUUAUCUGGAGAUUUUUUCCUUUACUUCUGAUCUAUUAUAUUUAUAUCCUGCUCUGGUCCAUAUUUUACGUGCUGAUGCUUAUACGGUUGCAUUUCCUCGACAUGGCUUAUAGGUAUUGGCUGCAUUAUCCUCUAUCAUCCAGUGGAUCUGGAUGGCCGUGGAUGGUUAGUGGUUUAACUUCGUUUCAAUCAUCUGACCUGAUGCAUUGUCCCUGUUAUCGGAUAUAUCUGAUGGUCGUUUUUGAGUUGCAUGGACACUUCACCAUGCUUAUUUGGCUUCUGAUCUUACUGUCCCACAUGAUUACAUUUAUUAUGCAUGCGGGCACCUCUGUUGUUUUUUUUCCAGAUGAUGUUUGCACUGAUGGGUCUUCGCCCCUCCCAAAUGAUGAUAUUCAAGUGUCUGUUUCUAAUGGGAGUUGGCCUUUUUUUUAAAUUUAUUACUCUCUCCCCUUCUGCUGGCCAUCUUAUCAAUGCCGCUUUUAUGGCUCGUAUGGCUCUUUGGUUGUAUUUGCUGCAAAAGAAGAUUUUAUGGUUGGGUUUUACUUGCUAUAUCACUCUAUGUCAGUGGUCUUAUUUUAGUCCAAAUAAAGUUUCAAUCACUGAUGAGUUUUGUGAUCUAAUUACCUCCCAAAUAAUUAUAUUCAAUUGGUCCGAUUCUGAUGGGAGUUGGCCUGGAUUGCCUAUUGGUUUGCUAUUCUUGCUGACGGGGAUUGGGUGGUUGGCUUACCCUUGUCUCGUUGCUUUAUGCCGCUGGCAUCACUUAAUCCCAAAUGAUGACUCAUGGCAUGUUGUCUGCUGGGUUUCUGAGCAUAUUAUUGGUUUUGGGUACAUCCGAGAUUUUUGUUCAAAACUAUGUUUUGGUACUCUAUACACAAUUUUCUCUGAAGUAUAGGUGCUGCAUCAUUUAUAGCAUAUCUUACUCUGAAAUAUCUUAUAGUAUUUUGGACUCUUUUGCUUUUUCUGUUUUGUGAAUUUAGGGCGAGGCGCUUGUUUAUGCGGUCUCCAUUUUCCCACGUGUCAUUUAGCUUGUUCUAUUGUUUAUUGGAUUACUGGGUGUGCUUCUGUUAUUUUAUUUUAUUAACUGUUGGUUCUCCGGAUAUCAGCCUAUUAUUUGGGUGGAUUACGGAUGGCAUUUGCUGCAUAUUCAAUUUCUCUCUUUGGAUUUUCUUAUUCGGUUAUUGUGUGCUGCUGCUAAUCUCUUGUCCCAGAUGAUGUAUCAUUCCAUAAUGAUUUUGAUGGAUUUGUGUGCAUAUUAUCUGCUUUUAGUAUAUUGGAGACUCUUGUUCCGGUGUUGCCGUGUUGGUUUUGAUUUUUUAUGAUGCAUCUCUUUCACUGUAUAAAGGCUGCAUAAGUUAUAGCUGCUACUAUUUUACGAAGACUCCCAGCAUUUUGGCUUGUUAGUUAUUUACUAUUUUAGGAUCUUAGGCAAAAUUUAGUUUUUUUGCUUACCCAUUUUGUGGCCUGUAUCUUGGGUUGUUAUAUAUUUUUUGAUUUCAGAAUGUAUUACUAUUUUUUGCGGCAUGUUCCAUGGAUUAGUACUUGUGAAAUAAAGGUUUUUUU